rnacentral:snoRNA from 1 species
AAGACUAUACUUUCAGGGAUCAUUUCUAUAGUAUGUUUUUUCAUUUUAAUAAGACAGAGAAUUUGAGAGGU